AACUCACCACCUCCUCCGAGCUCGCACCUGAACUUUCCGUGGUGAUGCCUUCCGCAGCCGUCUGCUGCGCCGAUCCGAUCGCCCGAGCACGACGAUCUGACCUGUCGACUGAAAAUCCUCUGCCCCGACAACACCUUCUCAGAACUGCCUCACGCUGCUGUUCUGAACUUGUGUUCUCGAUUUUUGUUUGUGUUGAUUUGCCACCGGACGCUGCUUUUAUAGGUCCUGGAUUAGCCUGACUACGAGUCCUACUGCCCUUCGUUUUCGUGUCCUAAUCGGACUGCUGCACCUCUCGUGCCGUCGGCCGCUCGAAUCCAGCGCAUCACGCGUUCCUUUCCCCUGCCAAAGCGAGCUGGAAACCGAGUCCAACACGCAUGGAACGCACCACCUUUUUUUCUUCCUUUUUUUUAUGAAACCGACAGCUCUCUGACUAGCUGUCCCGUCCCAUGUGCUGCAAGCCCCUUUUCCUUCUUCUAGUUGAAUCCGACCAGAGCAUUGCUUCCUUUGCUUUUUUUGAGUUGAAUCCGGCUAGUACUAGGCUACUGGCACUUCUUUCUUUGCGUGGAAAACAACAGCACUACUCCUUUUCAGAAAUCAAUUGGAAACCUGGCUCCUGCGUGAUAGCAUUGUCUUGCAUGUUUUUCUUCUAGUGUGCUGCACUGUGUCCGACCCGUACACACGACAUGUCGACUCAGGUUCACAAUUCAUCCACCGCAAACCUCGCAAAUUCUAUGUACAAACCCGUGUCGCGUCCUGGCCACCUACACUGUCGACACAACUCGUCCACCGUGCCACAAUGUCGCAUUGUGCUACACCGAUCCACCGCUACACCGUGAUGCAUCCUGCUCCGAUCUAUCCGGUCGCCCUACAUCUGGUCGCCGGUCUGAUCGCGAGCCAAAGCCGUCGUUCGGGCUGCGACGUCUUCCCGGCCACCGUGUCGGCCCGAUCACCAUGCCUGGUCGAUCCUUGCCAACUACAGCCCAUCGAACGGUUCAGGCUGCCUGCCUGAAGUGUCCGACUCCACCGAUCGGAAUUCGGAUUGCCGCCAUGCUCCACCUUGCACCGAAUUGGACGUUCCGUGGCGCCCGUCAAGCAUGAUCCUUGCACCUCAAACA
rnacentral:lncRNA from 1 species